rnacentral:rRNA from 1 species
UACGUAGGGUGCAAGCGUUGUCCGGAAUUAUUGGGCGUAAAGAGCUCGUAGGCGGCUUGUCACGUCGACUGUGAAAACCCGGGGCUCAACUCCGGGCCUGCAGUCGAUACGGGCUGGCUUGAGUGCGGUAGGGGAGACUGGAAUUCCUGGUGUAGCGGUGAAAUGCGCAGAUAUCAGGAGGAACACCGGUGGCGAAGGCGGCACUCUGGGCCGAUACUGACACUGAGGAGCGAAAGCGUGGGGAGCGAACAGG